UACAGAGGGGCAAGCGUUAUUCGGAAUUAUUGGGCGUAAAGGGCGCGUAGGCGGCUUGGCAAGUGGAAGGUGAAAUCCCUCGGCUUAACCGAGGAACUGCCCUCCAAACUGCUUUGCUUGAGACCAGGAGAGGUGAGUGGAAUUCCCAGUGUAGCGGUGAAAUGCGUAGAUAUUGGGAGGAACACCAGUGGCGAAGGCGGCUCACUGGACUGGUACUGACGCUGAGGCGCGAAAGCGUGGGAGCAAACGGG
rnacentral:rRNA from 1 species